GACGAACGCUGGCGGCGUGCUUAACACAUGCAAGUCGAACGGAGAAUUUAUUUCGGUAAAUUCUUAGUGGCGAACGGGUGAGUAACGCGUGGGCAACCUGCCCUUCAGAUGGGGACAACAUCCCGAAAGGGGUGCUAAUACCGAAUACGAUCACGCUGCCGCAUGGCGGUGUGAUGAAAGAUGGCCUCUAUUUAUAAGCUAUCGCUGAAGGAUGGGCCUGCGUCUGAUUAGCUAGUCGGUGGGGUAACGGCCUACCAAGGCGAUGAUCAGUAGCCGGUCUGAGAGGAUGAACGGCCACAUUGGGACUGAGACACGGCCCAAACUCCUACGGGAGGCAGCAGUGGGGAAUAUUCCGCAAUGGACGAAAGUCUGACGGAGCAACGCCGCGUGAGUGAUGAAGGUUUUCGGACUGUAAAGCUCUGUUGUUUAGGACGAAAGUGCCUGUUGCAAAUAGUUGCAGGUAUUGACGGUACUGAACGAGGAAGCCACGGCUAACUACGUGCCAGCAGCCGCCGUAAGAC
rnacentral:rRNA from 1 species